UGAGCUCACACAGAAAUUGUGAUUGUUUUCAUUGUGCAGGACAGAGCACUGAUCAUUCCGUGUAUAAAACUCUAACCUCCUUUUGUAUAGGUGCUCACAGUGACAGCAUGGGGAAAUGAAAAGGGAGCAUUGAUUUUGAUUCUUCCCACAUAGAAAAGUGGAAGCCUAGGGUAUUAAUGCUCUGGGGUCCCACACCGCUUAGAAAAAGCCCCACUGUUCUUCUAUGCCCAGCUGCUCCAAGCA
rnacentral:lncRNA from 1 species